rnacentral:hammerhead_ribozyme from 1 species
AUUUCCCUGAAGAGAAGUUUACAUUUUUAACAUCGCCGAUUCCUAUGGAUCGCAUAAAUUGUAAUUCUUCGAAACAUAUGUCGGAAAU